rnacentral:precursor_RNA from 1 species
AAGAAGUUGAUAGAAUAAAGAAGAAAGUAGAUCGGUUAAUUAUCUUUGGUUAUCUAGCUGUAUGA